rnacentral:tRNA from 1 species
GCUUCCUUAGUAUAAUUAGUACCGCUGACUUCCAAUCAGCAAGACCUGUAGAUAUAAUAGGAGAAAGUA